CCUACGGGAGGCAGCAGUGAGGAAUAUUGGUCAAUGGCCGAGAGGCUGAACCAGCCAAGUCGCGUGAGGGAAGAAUGUCCUAUGGAUUGUAAACCUCUUUUGUCAGGGAGCAAAGUCAGCCACGUGUGGGUUUUGGAGAGUACCCGAAGAAAAAGCAUCGGCUAACUCCGUGCCAGCAGCCGCGGUAAUACGGAGGAUGCGAGCGUUAUCCGGGUUUAUUGGGUUUAAAGGGUGCGUAGGCGGGUUAUCAAGUCAGCGGUAAAAUCGUGGAGACCAACUUCAUCCAGCCGUUGAUACUGAUGAUCUUGAGUGAGCGAGAAGUAUGCGGAAUGCGUGGUGUAGCGGUGAAAUGCAUAGAUAUCACGCAGAACUCCGAGUGCGAAGGCAGCAUACCGGCGCCCGACUGACGCUGAUGCACGAACGCGUGGGUAUCGAACAGGAUUAGAUACCCGGGUAGUC
rnacentral:rRNA from 1 species